rnacentral:rRNA from 1 species
AUUGAACGCUGGCGGCAGGCCUAACACAUGCAAGUCGAACGAGUGGCGGACGGGUGAGUAAUGUAUGGGAAACUGCCUGAGGGAGGGGGAUAACUACUGGAAACGGUAGCUAAUACCGCAUACCAUCGGAUGUGCCAAGAAGUGAUUAGCUAGUAGGUGGGGUAAAGGCUCACCUAGGCGACGAUCCCUAGCUGGUCUGAGCGGAUGACCAGACACACUGGCACUGAGACAAGGUCCAGACGCCUACGGGUGGCAGCAGUGGGGAAUAUUUCACAAGGGGCGCAAGCCUGAUGCAGCCAUGCCGCGUGUAUUAAGAAGGCCUUCGGGUUGUAAAGUACUUUCAGCGGGGAGGCGUUACCCGCAGAAGAAGCACCGGCUAACUCCGUGCCAGCAGCCGCGGUAAUAC